ACACCUACUUUUCUCCCCAGCUGAAAAUCACAGUUCAGUGUAAAUAGUAAAGUUAUUAAAAACAAAGCCCCAGUUUUAUUAACAGAGAAUCCUAUAAAGCAUUCUUUCCCAUAAAAUACGUAUUUUCUUAUAUAUUUGGAAACAACAACUCUGGUCAAGUCUAUAAUUGGGAAGAGGACUUUUUUUCCCUUAUUGAACUCAGAAAAUGAAGGGACCUUUCUGGGCAUCUCAUUUAGAUUCUGCAGAGCUAUUAAUUUACACACAAGUGGAUGUCUGCAUUCCCCAAAACUGAGGGAGUUAGAGACAAAUAUUAAGUGACAGCAUGAGCCAUUAGUGAGAAAUGUCACAUGGAACUUCUGUAGAACAGCGCAGAGCAUGACUCUAAGCUAAUGAGCCUUCGCGCCACACAGGAAAAUUCAUUUCAUUACCAUAUAGUCACAUCUUGUGUGUGUUUAUAGUAUUCUUUCAAAAUGUUAGAAUAGCUUGCAAAAAUAUUCAGCACUCACUUUUAUUAUCUGAGCUGGUUCUCUGUAUUUGUAAGUAUAAGCCGAAGAUGCAGUAAUGCAGGCACAUUCACUUACCAGCUGGGUUUGUAAAGAUAGGAUAGCUUUUGUUUUUACAGUUGCCCAAUCUGAACACUCCUCUUACUAAAUCUGGUCAGGCUUCUGAAACCCUGAGCUCCGGAUGUACCAAACUCCACAAGGAGUAUUUUGUAAGGAAGAAAGAGGGAUGUAGUGACUUUUAAAGAUGAAAAAGAACUCAGAUCAUCUAAUCCAACUUUCUCUUUCAAAAAUAAUAAUACUCAUAAUCAUUAGCUACUUUUUUUGAACAUGUUCUCUGAGUAACAUUUUGAGCCAAGAUCUUUACAUUUAUUAUCUUCUUUAAUGUGCUCCACAGUUUCGUGAGUUGGACAGUAACUGUCCCAUAUUUCUAAUGAGGAAUUGAGAGACAGGUAACUUGUCCAAGCUCACACACACAGUAAAUUGUGGAGAGCCAGGACCAGUGCUGGUGAUGCUACUCUACUUUCUACAAAUCACAGCCCAGAUGGAGAGCAAGGAGGAAAGUUGUAUUUAGGACCCAGGCCUCCUGACGCUCUCUUAGUAGGUUUUCCUUUAUCCUGUCUCGUAUGCUCCAAAAUGGGUAUAGUCGUCCAGCACGUGUUUAUACACUGACCUUUUAUCUAGUAGGAACAAAUUUACUUUUUUGGAAACUGCAUCUCACUUUAUUCUCACUCGCUGUCUUGAGUUUGCUUAGAUCUUCAUCCUUUUCAAAGAGCUUUCACGUGUAAGACUAAUUUGACACCUGCAGAAUUUCUUUCAUUUUAGGCCCAGGUGUUUAUAUUGAAGUUGUGGGGGCUGGGAGAGAGGGAUGAGGUCACAGAGGCAGACAAAGGUCAACCUUAAGAGAGCAGCCAAUUCACUCAAUAGUACGAGCCAAAACAAAGCUGAUCCGAGUAAACUGAGUUAGCAGUAUCUCUGGGGUAAAGGAGACAGUUUCUUUCACAUCUUGUCAUUUCAAAACAUGGCUCCUCACUAACUAAUGUUAGGCUAAGAAAUAGAUUUUGUAGAUUUCUUGGAAUUGAUAAUGUUCAGUAUCAUUGUUAAUACCCUCCAGAAUAAUGACCUUGAAGCAGAGGGAGGGAAAAGGGUAUUUUUUGAGCACUUGUAAAUACAUUGCUUUUCUUCUAUAAUACCAUCCAUAUAGGUAUUUUGUCCAUUUCACAGAUGAGAGAACAUUUCAGAGAUGAAUUUCAAAGAGGCCAAAAACAGCGAGAUAAGUAGCAGAGCUGAAGUUUUAAUCAAAAGCGGCCUGCUAUAAAAAUCCAAGUUCUUUCUUCCACACAUGCAAACUGGUAAAUAUAGAAAGAACAAUGAAUAUCUGAAAAUUGAAGCUUUCUACUAUGCCAAUUUUCUCAGGAGCGUCAGUUCAGUUUUCCAUCUCAGAAAGUGGAAGUUAAUACAUAAGUGAGAACAGAAACUUUGCAACAACAUUACUGCCUGAAAGGUAUAAGACAACGAUGGCUGCAUUGCAACAGGGCUGGUGAACAGGAAGGGUGAGAGAGCCUGGGUGAGAAAGGUCUUCAGCCAUAAAACAGUGCUCAGUCUGGACCCACAGCGGGAAGAUCGGUCCAGUGCUGUAGGCUUGGGCCGUGUAUGGUGCCCACUUAAUUUCUUCACUACCUCCCUCAUCCCCCCUCUACUUUCUAUGUUAAUGAAAGAACAAUGAUGUAUAGAUAACAUCAUAUGAGAGCUAGGUGUAAUCUGAAAAACCAUCUGACCCAAAUGCUUUCUUUGCAAGACGGGGAAACUAAAAACCAGAGUAGCUAAGUAACGUUCUCAAGGUCACAAAUCUAAACCCAGUCUCUCACAUCUAUUAGAAACACUUUCUGCUAUGCCCUGGAAACAAAACACAGUAUAUUCAAAGCAUGAUAUACAAAAGUACAGAUCCCCCAAAUUAUUUCCCUUAUAAGACCUUAGAAAAUGAUAUUUGAAGGUCACUAGAGGUUGAUCAUUUAAUAAUAGCCAGUAACGUACAAACAUAGACACACUGAGCCAAAUUCUGGGGGAUGAAAAAUAGAAAAAAAUGCCGAUGCAACCAGUGUUUGUUGUCAACACACAACCCUGAGAUUCUUCUUAUUUUAAUCUUACAGUCUAAAGUAGUACUAGAAUAUACAUGUCAAAAAGAUGCAUCCUGCAUGCUAGGCCAUUCUGACUGAAAGCUAUUUAUCUUAUAUGAAACUGCUUUGCUCAAGAAAUAAAGAAGAAUGACUUCUAUUUGUUGAUAAGAUGUGUUCCUCCUUGGACAACACUGCCCCAGGACAAAUAAAUGCAGCCGUAGAUACCUGGAGAAUGCCUGAGUUUGGUUCUGAGUGACUCAACUGGGGCCCCAACAUGAAGCUGAGGUUUUGAGCCAUGCUCAGAGAGGUUGACAUAAGCUUGGUUUGUCCUCUUUGGAGACGGCACCAAUAGAGAAAAAGGGGACCAUAAUUCAAAGAGCCAAGAGGUAUCUUCAUUUGAAUUUCAACAAAAUUUCUUAUUUGAUCUUUAGUUUCUACUUCCUUUAAUUAAUCUAAACAUCACAUUCUUUUUAUUUAAAAAAAUUGUUUAUUGAGCACUUUCAUUGGCCAGGCAUUUUCUUAUGCCCUGUAGAUUGCAUUAUUUUAUAGUACCCAAAAGAAACAGAAGCCCAAAGAAACAGAAGCUUCGUACCUAAAGCACACAAGACAAUAAUCAAAAUCUGGAAUAUUUGGGUGAAGAAAGUUGAGAAAGAAACCUAUGUGAAUAUAGGCAGAUUUCUCUCUUUAGUAUAUGAGAACUUUUUCCCAGAACUAGGAUGUAGUUUGAAUUCCUUAAAGCUUUCUUCACUUUUAGUAUAAUUGAGAUUGCUUAUACUUAAUUAAUUAAAUGUCACAAUUCCAAUAGAAUUAUUUUAUGAAUAAUUAUAUUAGCUGUCUUCUGUUUUAAUCACCAUGCCACUUUUUAUCUUUAUCGAUGACUAUCUUAAAAGGUUGAAACAUGUGCUUUACACAAUUCCAUAAAAAUUUUGGUAAGAAAUAAAAUAUUUUCAUAUUCAAAUUAGUUCUUUAUGACAAAAUAUUUCCUAAUUAAUUUUCUUGCAACAUAAUUAUUUUAUUUUCAUUAUAUAGAGUACAGAAAUGUUUGGGGCUGCUUUCUGGCCUUCUGAUUAUGCCUGCUGUUAGCUGGCAGCAAUAAGAGGCACCCUUUUUCAAAUUAUUUAAUAAUUCUCCAAUAUGCCCAGAUUUGAAAAUACAUAGCCUUUGGAAUAUUUGCAAACCAUUCAGGGGCUUUAUUGAAAAACUGUACCAUUUUAAUUUUUUUGUUGUUUUUUUAUUAAAAUAUAAGACAUUAUAGAUGAUGUGAGAAAUACAGAGAAAAUCUACCUAAAAUUUUAACACUUUCAUUUGUGAAUUAUAUGCAUGUCUGUAGAUCUUCACAUAAUUUUAGUAAUAGGAUACUUAAUCAUAUAUAUUGUUUUUUUAACAUAUUAUCAGAAACAUUUUGACAUAAAAAAAAUGCACUCAUAUCUCACAUGGCAAGUCUGUAAUUUUGGAGGCAAACUGUUUCUUAUUCCAAUGUGUUAUUUGCCUGGUUAGCUUAUAUGAUUGGACCAUGGGCCAAAACGGAUGAAGGUUAUAGUUUCAAUUUCUAGGUAGGUCAGCUAGCUUUACUCUGUUUCAUGGCCACAUGAAGGGAUUAAAUGACUGAGAAAGAGAAUACAGACAUAUUAGCAGGAAUUCAUCCCCUCUGCUGGAAAAAGUAUCCAUAGUACAAGACCUAGGUUUGUGCCAAUUCCAAAGUCAUUAGUGUCAGGAUGGAAAAAAAACAAAAAAACAAAAAAACAGGGAAAGGAAAACCCUGACUCUCCAAACACAAAAACUGAAUGCUAUAUAGCUUUCAUUUCCAUAAUAUAACAUAAUAGCCUGGCUUUUCUUUUUAUAGUUACAGUUGGGGGGCUCCAGCUGAUCACCUGCCUGAAAUUAUCACAAGCCUGGUGGGAAGCAUUUGAGGAGGCAUAGUCAUGUUUUCAUUUCACUAGGAAAUCAUUUAGCAAAUUACUGCUGUUCUGUAAAUUACUGUGCUGCAUAACUUUCAUACUGAGAAACUAUUUCCUUUUUCCACAAAAAUUGCAGAUAAAAAGUUCCUAUAAUAAAUAAUCUGUAUUUAAAACAAACCAAUUCCUAGAAUUCAGAGAAGGUGAUAUAGCAUUUCUCAGGUGAAAAAAACCAAAUUUUAUUACCAAUAUUUUAAAAUGACAUAUUCUCUGUUAAAGUCAGAGUUUUAUUUAUUGUUUGUUUACUUUGUUACCCUUUGAGGGGAAUGGAUAGAGGCUUCUGAAGACGAAAUAACAAGCUAAGUACUUAUUUUUUGAAAGAAAAAGAACUAAUUUUGGAAAUCAGAGUUCUUUAAGCCCAAGUCUUAUAUCUUGAAGAGAGUCCUACAAUCAGUAAUCAACCUAAAUAGAACAUGGUAUUGGGAGCAAUUUUUAUUAUGCUAAGUCCUGUUUAAAAUGUCGGUCUGAAGGGAAAUAACUCAGUUCUUUUAAUUUUGUGUUGAGGUGAUAGGCCCAAAUAUAAUCUGGGGAAAUAUGGCCUAGGAUCGCACUCCAAAUAUGGUGCAUCACUGCUGAUGUAGCAGGAAGCAUUACAAAAGGACUAAUUUCUCUGGCCUUUUCCAGAAACACUUGGAUAAUGAAACACAGAGCUGGUUCUUCCACUUCCGUGGCAAGAAGACAGAAAAGCAGAGGCAGGGGAGAAAGCUUUCUUUCAGAGAAUGAGGUCCCAUUUCCGUGCUGUCUUUUCAUAACAGACGGCUUUGGAAACAAAACUGAAUGACUGAUAUUCACAAACACUAACGAAUAUUAGGAAGUUUCACCCUAAACUUAAAGGCUUAACUUAAAAGGUUUAAAGAGAAAAUGCUUCAUGGUGGCUAAAACUUCUAAAUAGUUACAUUAGAUGCAUAUUAAAAUUAAAGCUCCUGAUACCUAGAACUAGUUAUACCAUCAACGGACUUAAAUAUCUAAUACUUGAGUCCACAGUUAAAAAAAAAAAAAAGUUGUGCAAACAUGGA